CCUACGUGAGGCAGCAGUGAGGAAUAUUGGUCAAUGGGCGUAAGCCUGAACCAGCCAAGUAGCGUGAGGGAUGACGGCUCUAUGGAUUGUAAACCUCUUUUAUAUGGGAAUAAAGUGCGGGAUGUGUCCCGCUUUGUAUGUACCUUAUGAAUAAGGAUCGGCUAACUCCGUGCCAGCAGCCGCGGUAAUACGGAGGAUCCGAGCGUUAUCCGGAUUUAUUGGGUUUAAAGGGUGCGUAGGCGGCUUGUUAAGUCAGCGGGGAAAGUCUGUGGCUCAACCAUAGAAUUGCAGUUGAUACUGGCAGGCUUGAGUAUGUUAGAGGCAGGCGGAAUGCGUGGUGUAGCGGUGAAAUGCUUAGAUAUCACGCAGAACCCCGAUUGCGAAGGCAGCCUGC
rnacentral:rRNA from 1 species